rnacentral:lncRNA from 1 species
UUCGAUGACCCUCAACAACUCUAGCCAUGUUUCCAUCAUACGUCGGAACAAAGAUAUCGCUUUCUAAAGAGACAAGGUAAUCAAGUGCAGCCAUUUGUGACGAAUGGUUCUGAAAGAACCCGAGCUCCAAAGGGUCCAACAGCGUCUCCUUUCGCACCUAUUUGGAAACUCUCCAGCUAAACUAGCCAUUCGUCUUUCACCGCCGUAAAUUUCACCAGCAGCGAUGUAAAUUUGAAUAUUUCGAUCGAUGCUCAAAGCGCGUAACACCAAAGCGGUUUCUUCCGGUGUCAUAGGACACAACCCUUCUU